rnacentral:rRNA from 1 species
CUACGUGCCAGCAGCCGCGGUAAUACGUAGGGCGCGAGCGUUGUCCGGAAUUAUUGGGCGUAAAGGGCUUGUAGGCGGUUGGUCGCGUCUGCCGUGAAAUCCUCUGGCUUAACUGGGGGCGUGCGGUGGGUACGGGCUGACUUGAGUGCGGUAGGGGAGACUGGAACUCCUGGUGUAGCGGUGGAAUGCGCAGAUAUCAGGAGGAACACCGAUGGCGAAGGCAGGUCUCUGGGCUGUAACUGACGCUGAGAAGCGAAAGCAUGGGGAGCGAACAGGAUUAGAUACCCUGGUAGUCCAUGCCGUAAACGUUGGGCACUAGGUGUGGGGGACAUUCCACGUUUUCCGCGCCGUAGCUAACGCAUUAAGUGCCCCGCCUGGGGAGUACGGCCGCAAGGCUAAAACUCAAAGAAAUUGACGGGGGCCCGCACAAGCGGCGGAGCAUGCGGAUUAAUUCGAUGCAACGCGAAGAACCUUACCAAGGCUUGACAU